UGUUUAACCGAUGGGGUGACACAGAAGGAUAGGGAAUCGCACGAAUGGAAAUGUGCGUCCAAGCAGUGAGUGUGAGAAGUAGGCAAAUCCGCUUCUCACGAAGCAUGAGCUGUGAUGGGGAAGGAAAGUAAGUACGGAAGUUCCUGAUUUCACGCUGUCAAGAAAAGCCUCUAGGAAGAGUAGUACUGCCCGUACCGCAAACCGACACAGGUAGAUGAGGAGAGA
rnacentral:rRNA from 1 species